UACGGAGGGGGCUAGCGUUGUUCGGAAUUACUGGGCGUAAAGCGCCCGUAGGCGGCCUUGUAAGUUAGAGGUGAAAGCCCAGGGCUCAACCCUGGAAUUGCCUUUAAGACUGCAUCGCUUGAACACGGGAGAGGUGAGUGGAAUUCCGAGUGUAGAGGUGAAAUUCGUAGAUAUUCGGAAGAACACCAGUGGCGAAGGCGGCUCACUGGACCGUUGUUGACGCUGAGGUGCGAAAGCGUGGGGAGCAAACAGG
rnacentral:rRNA from 1 species